GUUUGAUCCUGGCUCAGGACGAACGCNGGCGGCGUGCCCAAUACAUGCAAGUCGAGCGGACAGGGGAGCUUGCCCUGAUGUAGCGACGGGUGAGUAACACGUGGGUAACCUGCNCANACUGGGAUACUCCGGGAAACCGGGCUAAUACCGGAUGGUUGUUUGAACCGCAUGGUUCAAACAUAAAGGUGGCUUCGGCUACCACUNNAGAUGGACCCGCGGCGCANNUGUUGGUGAGGUAACGGCUCACCAGGCAACGAUGCGUAGCCGACCUGAGAGGGUGAUCGGCACACUGGGACUGAGACACGGCAGACUCCUACGAGGCAGUAGGGAAUCUUCCGCAAUGGACGAAAGUCUGACGGAGCAACGCCGUGAGUGAUGAAGGUUUCGGAUCGUAAAGCUCUNCGGGAAGAACAAGUACCGUUCGAACAGGGCGGUACCUUGACGGUACCCAACCAGAAAGCCACGGCUAAUCGUGCCAGCAGCCGUAAUACGUAGGUGGCAAGCGUUUUCCGGAAUUAUUGGGCGUAAAGGGCUCGCAGGCGGUUUCUUAAGUCUGAUGUGAAAGCCCCGGCUCAACCGGGAGGGUCAUUGAAACUGGGGAACUUGAGUGCAGAAGAGGAGAGUGGAAUUCCACGUGNAGCGGUGAAUGCGAGAUGUGGAGGAACACCAGUGGCGAAGGCGACUCUGGUCUGUAACUGACGCUGAGGAGAAAGCGUGGGGAGCGGGAUACCCUGGUAGUCCACGCCAUAACGAUGAGUGCAAGUGUUAGGGGUUUCCGCCCCUUAGUGCUGCAGCUAACGCAUUAGGCACUCCGCCUGGGGAGUACGGUCGCAAGACUGAAACUCAAAGAAUUGACGGGGCCCGCACAAGCGGUGGAGCAUGUGGUUUAAUUCGAAGCAACGCGAAGAACCUUACAGGUCUUGACAUCCUGACAAUCCUAGGAUAGGACGUCCCUUCGGGGCAGAGUGACAGGUGGUGCAUGGUUGUCAUCAGCUCGUGUCGUGAGAUGUUGGGUUAAGUCCGCAACGAGCGCACCUCCUUGAUCUUNGUUGCCAGCAUUCAGUUGGGCACUCAAGGUGACUGCCGGUGACAAACCGGAGGAAGGUGGGAUGACGUCAAAUCAUCAUGCCCUUAUGACCUGGGCUACACGUGCUACAAUGGACAGAACAAAGGGCAGCGAAACCGCGAGGUUAAGCCAAUCCCACAAAUCUGUUCUCAGUUCGGAUCGCAGUCUGCAACUCGACUGCGUGAAGCUGGAAUCGCUGAAUCGCGGAUCAGCAUGCCGCGGUGAAACNUUCCCGGGCCUUGUACACACCGCCCGUCACCACCGAGAGUUUGUAACACCCGAAGUCGGUGAGGUAACCUUUAGGAGCCAGCCGCCGAAGGUGGGACAGAUGAUUGGGU
rnacentral:rRNA from 1 species